rnacentral:RNase_P_RNA from 1 species
AGCAGAACAGGUAAUCGCGGCUCCGCCUCAAAGCGGAGGUGAGGAAAGUCCGGGCUUCAUAGGGCAGGAUGCCGGAUAACGUCCGGUGGAGGUGACUCCCAGGAAAGUGCAGCAGAAAGUAUACCGCCAUAUUCGUAUGGUAAGGGUGAAAUGGCGAGGUAAGAGCUCACCGCAUGGCUGGUAACAGACAUGGCAUUGUAAACCCCAUCCGAAGCAAGACCAUAUUUGAGCCAUUGGCUGCCCGUCAGAUGCCGCAAGGUGUCAGGUUCAUGGUAGGUCGCUUGAGUUCUGUGGCAACACAGUCCCUAGAUAGAUGAUUACCCAACGACAUAACCCGGCUUAUCGUUCUGCUCUU